rnacentral:rRNA from 1 species
CCUACGGGUGGCAGCAGUGGGGAAUAUUGCACAAUGGGCGCAAGCCUGAUGCAGCCAUGCCGCGUGUGUGAAGAAGGCCUUCGGGUUGUAAAGCACUUUCAGCGGGGAGGAAGGCGUUAAGGUUAAUAACCUUGUCGAUUGACGUUACCCGCAGAAGAAGCACCGGCUAACUCCGUGCCAGCAGCCGCGGGAAUACGGAGGGUGCAAGCGUUAAUCGGAAUUACUGGGCGUAAAGCGCACGCAGGCGGUCUGUCAAGUCGGAUGUGAAAUCCCCGGGCUCAACCUGGGAACUGCAUUCGAAACUGGCAGGCUAGAGUCUUGUAGAGGGGGGUAGAAUUCCAGGUGUAGCGGUGAAAUGCGUAGAGAUCUGGAGGAAUACCGGUGGCGAAGGCGGCCCCCUGGACAAAGACUGACGCUCAGGUGCGAAAGCGUGGGGAGCAAACAGGAUUAGAUACCCUUGUAGUC